rnacentral:misc_RNA from 1 species
GAUGAAGAACGUAGCGAAACGCGAUAAGUAGUGUGAAUUGCAGAAUUCAGUGAAUCAUCGAGUCUUUGAACGCACAUUGCGCCCCCUGGUAUUCCGGGGGGCAUGCCUGUCCGAGCGUCAUUGCUGCCCUCAAGCACGGCUUGUGUGUUGGGCCUCCGUCCUCCUCCCGGGGGACGGGCCCGAAAGGCAGCGGCGGCACCGCGUCCGGUCCUCGAGCGUAUGGGGCUUCGUCACCCGCUCUUGUAGGCCCGGCCGGCGCUUGCCGACACAUCAAUCUUUUUUCCAGGUUGACCUCGGAUCAGGUAGGGAUACCCGCUGAACUUAAGCAUAUCAAUAAGCGGAGGA